AAUGAUUCAUUCAUCUCCUCUCCGUUGCAAGCCCCAAAUUCCUCGAGCGAAGAGUCGCAAGUGUUUGCUUCUAGGUUUUCCCCACUUCUUUUUGCUUGUAGUAGCAAUCCUUCGGGGGAGGAAGGCUGCUUCGGUUGAUGCGCUCCGACAAUGUUUUGUUGUCUGCUAAUUUGGUGAAAUAUCGAAAGAAAUUGCAGGUUUUAUCUCCGCGUACGUGCAUAUUUCGGGUUUGCAGAAUUAGUGGCAUGUGUACUGCUUAAUUUUCUUUAAAAAUUGCUCCUUUGUGCAAGAAA